GUUUUAAUAAUUUAAGUAAAAUAUUGGUCUUGUAAACCAAAAUUAAGGAAUAAACCUUUUAAAACU
rnacentral:tRNA from 1 species